UACAGAGGGUGCGAGCGUUGUCCGGAAUCACUGGGCGUAAAGGGCGCGUAGGUGGUGGCUUAAGCGUGCGGUGAAAGCUCGGAGCUCAACUCCGAGUCGGCCGUGCGAACUGGGCUCACUGGAGCAUAGUAGAGGCAGGUGGAAUUCCGGGUGUAGCGGUGGAAUGCGUAGAGAUCCGGAAGAACACCGGUGGCGAAGGCGGCCUGCUGGGCAGUUUUGCUGACACUGAGGCGCGACAGCGUGGGGAGCAAACAGG
rnacentral:rRNA from 1 species